rnacentral:rRNA from 1 species
GUGUCAGCAGCCGCGGUAAUACGUAGGGUGCGAGCGUUAAUCGGAAUUACUGGGCGUAAAGCGUGCGCAGGCGGUCUUGUAAGACAGAUGUGAAAUCCCCGGGCUCAACCUGGGAACUGCAUUUGUGACUGCAAGGCUAGAGUGCGGCAGAGGGGGAUGGAAUUCCGCGUGUAGCAGUGAAAUGCGUAGAUAUGCGGAGGAACACCGAUGGCGAAGGCAAUCCCCUGGGCCUGCACUGACGCUCAUGCACGAAAGCGUGGGGAGCAAACAGGAUUAGAUACCCUGGUAGUCCACGCCCUAAACGAUGUCAACUGGUUGUUGGGUCUUCACUGACUCAGUAACGAAGCUAACGCGUGAAGUUGACCGCCUGGGGAGUACGGCCGCAAGGUUGAAACUUAAAUGAAUUGACGGGG